AACGAACGCUGGCGGCAUGCCUAACACAUGCAAGUCGAACGAGACCUUCGGGUCUAUUGGCGCACGGGUGCGUAACGCGUGGGAACCUGCCCUUAGGUUCGGCAUAACUCCCCGAAAGGGGUGCUAAUACCGGAUAAUGUCUUCGGACCAAAGAUUUAUCGCCUUUGGAUGGGCCCUCGUUGGAUUCGCUAGUUGGUAGGGUAAAAGCCUCCCAAGGCGCGAAUCCAUAGCUGGUCUGAGAGGAUGCUCAGCCACACUGGGGCUGAGACACGGCCCAGAAUCCUACGGGAGGCAGGAGUGGGGAAUAGAGGAAAACGGGGGAAAGCCUGAUCGAGCAAUGACCCUAGAGCGAUGUAGUCAUGAGAGAUGUAAAGCGCUUUUAACCGGGAUGAUAAUGACGGUACCGGGAGAAUAAGCGACGGCUAACUCCGUG
rnacentral:rRNA from 1 species